GUGCAGCAGUCGAGAAAACUUUACAAUGCGAGCAAUCGUGAUAAGGAAACCCUGAGUGCCUGUCAAUGCAGGCUGUUCUGGUGUCUAACACACACCAGGAGAAAGGGCGGGGCAAGACCGGUGCCAGCCGCCGCGGUAAUACCGGCUGCUCGAGUGAUAGCCACUUUUACUGGGCUUAAAGCGUUCGUAGCUUGGUCGUUAAGUCUCUGGGGAAAUCUUUUGGCUCAACCAAAAGGCGUCUCAGGGAAACUGGCGAUCUUGGAACCGGGAGAGGUAAGACGUACUUCGGGGGUAGGAGUGAAAUCUUGUAAUCCCCGAGGGACGACCGAUGGCGAAGGCAUCUUACCAGAACGGCUUCGACAGUGAGGGACGAAAGCUGGGGGAGCAAACCGGAUUAGAUACCCCGGUAGUCC
rnacentral:rRNA from 1 species